UUCGACCUCACGGCAACCGGCCAAGAGAGAGGCUGCUGGGUGUGGGUGCCAGGCCGGGACGUGGGCUCUUCUGUACGUGGCCUCGGAUGUGCGGACCUGCGGGUAGCUCUCUGGGUGUGUGAGUUCUGAGGCGCGCGUGUGCGUGUACUUGCUCGUGCCCGGUCUGCAGACGUCUCUUCCAAUUUAGAUUUCGAGGUGCACGCGCAAGACAGUUCCGGAUGCAGAUGCAUUUGGUUGUUUUACAAUCAAGAUGCGUAUAAUCAAGAUGUAUAUGUUGCAGAUGUCGCUGUUCAAAGUACACGGAAGGAUAAUAAAAGGAGCUGGCAUGCAAGGGGCACGUGCGCGUGCCAGGCGCUCCGUUAAGCACCCCACCCAAGUGAGCUCACCAUUAACCCCUAUGAGGGUGGGCGCUCUUCAAGGAAGCCAGAGCUCACGACUUCAGGGAAGACGCAGAAAUCACAGAAGUUUGUUCCUGCGCAUAUAUUGGGAUUUGGGGGCACGGGAGCCCUGCGAUUUUGCCCAGAGUCUUGGAGACGCGUGAGCCCAACCAAAUGAAGAACCCCUCGCUGCCCUGGGGACAAAAAGAAAUGAGAGGAAGUUUUCGGGUGGUCCCUGGGGACUCUUGUCUUGGCCAGGUCAACCUUAGCUUAAGGGACUAAUUCCAUCUUUCUAACCUUCUAGAAGGACACUCUUUCCUUGCUUAUUUUGAAGCUAAGCCUCCAGACCCCCAGGGCCCCAGGCAUUGUCUAAUUAGUUGACUAGUUAAUGAUAUUAACUCAUCAGCCAAAUGAUUAUGAACAAUCAUUAUCACCCCUAAUGAAUUCUGUGUUAAUUUCCUGUUGCUAGGCUUACCCUCACUUGACUAGCACAGGCAAUAAAAGGAAACCACUUUUCAUAAAACAAUUAGUUUUUAUUACAUUCCUCCCACCUCAAGAUCUGGGGUGAGGGGAGCUGUAGGGGGGAUCCCCCUUGCAGAGAGACUCCUGGGGUCCAGGCCGGGGGCUCCCUGGCCUCUACACCCCUUCACUGGCCUCCUCCGCAUACACCACGGUGAUAUGGUGAUAUACCGGCAGGUUUAACCUUUGUUAGAAUCUUCAGGAGGAUUUACUUAGUUUUUUUCAUUAAAGUCACAUCUGGUCGACUCCGGGGCUUGGAUUUUGUACUAUAGAUGUGUAUGUGUUGGAGGGGGAUCCUGUGGGGUCUGAGGGCCACCUGAACCUUUUUCUCAGGGCAGAAAUUAACAAGGCGAAAGCUGGGACCUAGUUUAGGGCUGAUAAUUCUUUUUACCUUUACUGCCCAGCGGAGCUCAGCACAAGGUAGACACCUACCCAACUCCUGCGUCUGGGUCAAGUCUAAACAUGUUCAGGGAUCCCACUACUUUGGAUACGUUUUAAAAAGCCCUCCGCAUCUCUAUUAUGCUUCCCUCUCUGAGUUCUUUCACUUGUUAUUCAGGCAGACACCCCGACAGCACUGGAAAAUUCGCAAGCACUCAAGGAACCUCCUACGCAUUGCAGACUAUUCAAGGGGAGAGGGUAGGGUCCCUCUUUCCUCCCCUCUGAUAAAAUAGGGUCCCAGGGAAAGCCCCUCAUCACCCCACGUCCUGCCUAAAUAAAUCCUCUUUGGUCGUCCUUGGCCACUUGGGGAUGGAUUUCUUCCUGGCGUCAAGGCAAGGUUGAUUUCAAACACGACGAUGUAAAAUUUAAGCUGAGCCUCUCUACCUCUCUCCCCCGCCCCCACAGCACCUCAGCUCCACCCCCCCACCCCCAAAUCAGCAGAUCCUCCGACAACCUCCACUUCCAAUCAACAGUAAUGCGAGGUUCCUCCCAGGGGAAGAAAAGAUAAAAACAAACAAACAAAAAAAAAAACAAGCUACCUGUUUUGCAGAGCUCCGGGAAGGGAGGCUCUAUCCGUAAAAGCUGCUUCCCCCAACUUCCUCCCGCGCCUUUGCUUGGCCGUUCCUUUGCCGCCAUCUGCUGGUCUCAUGGAGAAGCGCAUGCCCUUUCCAAGAUUUCUGGGAGGCUGUCAACCAUCCAUCCGUCCAUCCGUCUGUCCAUCCAGCAAAUAAUGGUGGCCAAGACACCGUCUCUGUUCUCAUGAGACUCGUAUUCCAGGAAAGCAAGCUUCAUGGCCGUCCCUUGAAAGUAAGCUACAGAGGGAGUAAAAUGUUAGAGGUAAGACCUGGAAGUUGGAGGCAGAGAUAUGGAACUAGCAUUCUGAGUCUGUUAUCGGCUCGCUGGGUGUCUCUGGGCCAGGUGACUUAACUUUCCCGGGUCUCGAUUCUGCCUAAAGUAAACCUGGAAUGACGGUACUCACAGGCAGGUGUGCUAUACAGAGCAGAGGACAAAGAACGCUUUUAUUUGCAAAGUACCAGCUCCAUCGACACCAUCUUCCCUGUUUGGAAUUACGUGACUAUGCUUCCAUGAGGGCAGAGUUUGCUUACGGUAGCUUUCCUCUCCUCCGGAUCGUUCUGGAACACUGCUUCCUUACCCCUAUGACGCUCUCUCCAGCAAUGCAAUCCAACCAGUAUUUAGUGAGUGGGGAUUCUGGGUAUGGGCUUCAAAGAGUCCAAGAAGAGGGAGAGGAGGUUGGUCUUCAGGCCCCCCACCCUCUUUCUGGACCCUCCUGCCAGUCACACAGGGGCUGAGAGCAGUCGCCAUUGACGAUGCCAGUCCCAGCUCCUGCUGUCAUCCUGCCCACACUCAUGUCACGACCCUCAUCACCUUCAGCUUCAGAGACUCCCAGGCCUGGCCCACAGCAUCAAGAGGCAGGUCUGGUCUCACCUUGCUCAUUUCUCCAACUUCCUUCGCCCUGCUCUUUAAAGUCAAGCGAGGGGCGCCUGGGUGGCUCAGUCAGUUGAGAGUCUGACUCUUGAUUUCAGCCCAGGUCAUGAUCUCAGGGUCGUGGGAUCCAGUCCCGCGUUGGGCUCCAUACUGAGCACGGAACCAGCUCAGGAUUCUCUCUCUUUCUCUCUCUCUCCCUCUGCUUCUCUCUCUCUCUC